rnacentral:rRNA from 1 species
AUUGAACGCUGGCGGAAUGCUUUACACAUGCAAGUCGAACGGCAGCACGGACUUCGGUCUGGUGGCGAGUGGCGAACGGGUGAGUAACAUAUCGGAACGUAUCCAAUAAUGGGGGAUAACUAAUCGAAAGGUUGGCUAAUACCGCAUACGCCCUACGGGGGAAAGCAGGGGAUCUUCGGACCUUGCGUUAAUGGAGCGGCUGAUAUCUGAUUAGCUAGUUGGUGAGGUAAAUGCUCACCAAGGCGACGAUCAGUAGCUGGUCUGAGAGGACGACCAGCCACACUGGAACUGAGACACGGUCCAGACUCCUACGGGAGGCAGCAGUGGGGAAUUUUGGACAAUGGGCGCAAGCCUGAUCCAGCCAUUCCGCGUGAGUGAAGAAGGCCUUCGGGUUGUAAAGCUCUUUCGCAAGGGAGGAAAACUUACUUUCUAAUAAAGAGUGAGGUUGACGGUACCUUGAUAAGAAGCACCGGCUAACUACGUGCCAGCAGCCGCAGUAA